GAUGAACGCUAGCUACAGGCUUAACACAUGCAAGUCGAGGGGAAACGGCAUUUAGUGCUUGCACUGAAUGGACGUCGACCGGCGCACGGGUGAGUAACGCGUAUCCAAUCUUCCCAUUACUGUGGGAUAACCUGCCGAAAGGCAGACUAAUACCGCAUAGUCUUCGAUGACGGCAUCAGAUUUGAAGUAAAGAUUUAUCGGUAAUGGAUGGGGAUGCGUCUGAUUAGCUUGUUGGCGGGGUAACGGCCCACCAAGGCGACGAUCAGUAGGGGUUCUGAGAGGAAGGUCCCCCACAUUGGAACUGAGACACGGUCCAAACUCCUACGGGAGGCAGCAGUGAGGAAUAUUGGUCAAUGGGCGAGAGCCUGAACCAGCCAAGUAGCGUGCAGGAUGACGGCCCUAUGGGUUGUAAACUGCUUUUGUAUGGGGAUAAAGUCAAUCACGUGUGAUUGUUUGCAGGUACCAUACGAAUAAGGACCGGCUAAUUCCGUGCCAGCAGCCGCGGUAAUACGGAAGGUCCGGGCGUUAUCCGGAUUUAUUGGGUUUAAAGGGAGCGUAGGCCGGAGAUUAAGUGUGUUGUGAAAUGUAGACGCUCAACGUCUGACUUGCAGCGCAUACUGGUUUCCUUGAGUACGCACAACGUUGGCGGAAUUCGUCGUGUAGCGGUGAAAUGCUUAGAUAUGACGAAGAACUCCGAUUGCGAAGGCAGCUGACGGGAGCGCAACUGACGCUUAAGCUCGAAGGUGCGGGUAUCGAACAGG
rnacentral:rRNA from 1 species